rnacentral:lncRNA from 1 species
AGGUUGACAGUUUACGCUUGGAGGAAGAGAAAUGUGAAACUCACUCGAUUUACAGCCGGGGUUCUGUAGACUACUAUUCGAACUAGAGUGGUUUUCAUGUCUGCCGCUCUAAACUACAAAUUUAAAGCCACAUCAUCUCAAUUAAUUCAAUGUUUCUCUCUUCAAUACAAAAAACAACGUGUUCUGAGUAUCUUUAAUAUUGACAUCUGCAGUAUUCCCACGGCAAUCCUGUAAAAACAUAAAGUGUCACUAUGAAGGUGGAUUGUGUUGUGAAUGCACUAAAUACCCCCACAUGGACUCGCCCUGUUGUUCUAUUUGUACAGUAUCCUCAGUGUUUAUUAUAAGAUCAGAGCAGAACAUGUUCUUCUGUAUGGCACAGUUUCAAUCACAGUAGGGUUGUCAUGUCAUGAAAUACUGUGAGUAGCAUGUGUCUGCUGAGUUGUUGGAAUAAUUCAGCUUCAUAAGCAAACCAACAUGGAAUGUAUUUCCCCAAAAUAUUUACGCGUACCCUCCUGCUGUCUUUAUCUCCUUCCUUCCUCCAUAUCUGUUUCCUUCACUCUGUCUAUUACACACACACAUGCACGUACACUGAAUACUGACCCCUUUUUCUUAUUUGCUAAUUGUUUAAAAGGGUGGUCACUUUAUCUCAAUCUGUCAUAGUUUCCUUUUGGUCUCUCUCUUUCUUCGACACAAAAUUUCAUAGUUCAAGGGAAAAAAGGGUUUGAGUGAAAUAUGCACUUGUUUUUAGAUAAUAUUUUCCCUUACUGAUGCAUAAAAAUGUGGUUUUGUUUAUGCACAUUGCUAAUUUUUUUUGUUUUUGUAUGUCUUAAUACUGUUAAAUAUGUCAUAUUGUGCCUCUUGGGAUCAUUUACACAGUGCAUGAUUAUAAUUUCCGUAGAGUCAACUUUCAGGCUCCUCGUGGUCAUAAAAAUGCUCUGUCAGACCUGUUCCCCUGACAUGGAAAACUUAAGAAAUCCCUCCUGUCAUCAUUUUAAAAAAGAGCAACAAUAGGAAAAAGACAGAGCUGUUCUUCCUCUAAUGUCCAUUAGAUGGCGUGCUGCUCCAGUACUGCGCUGCUCCUAUCUUCUCCAUCAGUGUUUGUAGCUGUUUGAUCUGCAAACAUUUGCGGAGUCAGAACUUAAAUCUGCUUUUGACUCACUGCUAAUCUGACAGAAAAUAAAGCCUUUUGUCCUUUAUCUUCUUUGGAAAUCACUAACGACAGGGAGGGAAAAAAAGAUGUGGCGUAGACUGUCAGUUUGCACGCCAGUCACAGCAGAAGUUAUUUUUCGCUAAGUGUGAUGAGAAAUUUAGAUUUUAGUUGAGGGUAUUUCCUAAAGCAAAAGUAGUAGUUUUUUGUGUUGAAGGAGCAAAGACAACAACAAUAACAAACUUUAUUGUCAAUGAAGAAGCUAAAAUCAGAGAAAAACUGACUUUUCCUCUCAAAAGUAGUUCAUGGAUAUAGUUAAAAAAGAAGUUUACUGAUCAGGUGUAAGGAACACAUGAACAGAGGGGAGUGAGAUUAUAUGAACCUGAUUUGAUCCAGUCCAUUGCCAUGCUUCAAAAUGAUGGAAAAUUAUAUUGUAUCGUAAAAAAAAUAGCAAAAAAGUUUCUGGGUUAAAAACCAAAGACAGGAUCAAAGACACACAGUAGCGCUGAAUUGAGAGCACGAAUGUGAUGAUGGUGGGUGCCAAAUUGAACUCAGAUAAGGUUAAACUUCACAGUGAAAAGUUCAAACAAAAUUGUGUUUACCCAAUUAGAUCACCCAACGCAGAAAAACAGAUGAAAAUGUCAAAGCAAUAGUUUCACAUUAUGGUUAUUAUUUUUCCUCCCCUCUGAGUUAGAUGAGAUGAUCUUCACUUUCUCUUCAGUAAAAUUAAAGCUCUUCUGAUCCACUGCUGACACUGACGGUUAUGCUGCAUCCAUGUGCUCCUCUGAUGGUUUUAAUCACCAAGUUUAGAAGUCAGUCUUCUGCCUUUAUGUGUCCACAUGCUUUCAAUUCAAAAAGUCUGGGAAUGUCCCAUGACUCUUGAAUCAAGGUUGAACGCAAAUAAGUACAAACCUAAUUUGACUUCUGGGCUAAAAUUUUACAUUCAGACUGUAAUGCGCUGGCGAGACACUCAAUAAUAACCUCUACCAGUGCAUCGGGCUGUCUGAAAUAGCUUGCUGUAUGAUCCAAUAGAGGGCGCUCUUAUCAUGUCCCAGCCAAUCCAUGCACUCUUUACCUCGAUAAACCAAUUUACUAACAUUUCAGACAAGGAUCUAAUCUUGCUGUCUUUUCAGAGUGAAAUGUAACACUCGGUGAGUAUUUGCUGUGGAAAAAGUCAAAAUCUGCAGUUUUUCUGGCCUGCUGUCAAUCAUCGGGUCUGACACCUUCUCUUUCAUAGUGAGAUUUAAGCAUUAAAAUAACUGCUGUGAAAUCGAAAUUAUCACCCUUCUUGCUAAUGGUCUUAUUUACUUUUGAAGGUCAUAAAAAGUUUCAGUCUUAGUUUCAGUCAUUUUCCAAGCUAGGUAAAAAACGCUUAUAGUGCCUUUAAUGAAAUCAAGUUGGGCACCAAAUUCUUUCCUGAAGUACGAGUUGUUGUUGUUGUGACCUGGGCAUGCUUUCACAUUAAUUUUUCCAACUCAGAACUCGUUUUUUUUAUGUUUCUUACCACAUGAAUUUAAUGACAGCCUCAGUUAUGCAAAGAGGAGGCCAUCCCCAUAUUCUUAACGUUAACUCAUGCAUUAUGCAGAAAUGAAGAACCCUCCAAAAAACACUCAACAUUUAUAAGCACAUCCAAAGCUCACCAAUGAAUACAUUCUAUACAUCUAAUAAUUCUGUAAAAUAACAGAAAAGUAAAAAGGACAAGAAGUGGUUUCAUAGGGAGUCAUGUGUCAAACUAUUUUAAGGUCAGGAGUUAAAAGUUUGCUGGUCACAAUGUUGGAUGGUACUUUGAUAUUCUGCAGGAAAGAGACUGCAGAGGUCAGAUAUUUCUUUCAAAUACAAUAGCCAAUUAUUAGAGCAACAUUUGUGUGUGUAUGUAUGUAUGUGUGUGUCUGUUCAAGAUAAACACACGCGCAUGAACACAUUGUACAGACUCUUUGUGUGUCUUAUCAGCUUAUAUUUUAACAAGCCUAUCUGCUGUGCGUCAUCAUAAGGACUGCAUCACAAGACGCCUUGGGUGUUCACUUUAUGGUGCUUGAUUGUAGCUUUUAAGACAAGGUCAGGUCUGCUGGGACAGUUAAUUAUUACAGAGUCUGCAGGGCCAGGACGCCUCAUAAUACACUCUUCUUAAUAACAGCGGCAAAAGAUGGUAUAUGUUAUGUGUCAAACUGCUUGUUCUUUAAAAUAGUCAAAAGAGCAUUUGAAAUACAGUACAGGCCAAAAGUUUUGACACACCUUCUCAUUAAAUGCAUUUUCUUUAUUCUCAUUACUAUUUAAAUUGUAGAUUCUCAGUGAAGGCAUCAAAAGUAUGAAUGUGCUUAAGCAAAAAGUGUGAAAUAACUGAAAACAUGUUUUAUAUUUUAGAUUCCUCAAAGUAGCCACCCUUUGUUUUUUUGAUAGCGCUGCAAACUUUUGCUGUUCUCUCAAUGAGCUUCAUGAGGUAGUCACCUGAAAUGGUUUUUACGUCACAGGUGUGCCGUGUCAGAGUAACUUCGUGACUGACAGGGUGGCUAUUUUAAAGAAACUAGAAUAUAAAACAUGUUUUCAGUUAUUUCACACUUUUUUUAUAAGUACAAAGUUCUACAUGUGUUCAUUUAUAGUUUUGAUGCCUCCAGUGAUAAUCUACAAUGUAAAUAGUCAUAUAAAAAAAAUAAAGAAAAGACAUUGAAUGAGAAGGUGUGUCCAAACUGUAUAAUGUGCCUGUACUGUAUAAUUAUUAGAAAGGCUUUACACUGAUGGAAACAGAUAAAUACGCAGAUUUUGGUGACUUUAAAAAGCAUUAAAUACACUGUGUACUUUCAGCUGAUCAUGAUCUACAUGUUAAUUUAAUUUUCGCUUUUAUUAUGGCGAGAAAGCUGAAGUAAGACAGAGUCAGAAACAGGAGGGAGGAUAGAGGUUGACAUGCAACAUAUAACGACAGGACUGGAAGUCAAACCUGCAACCAGUGCAACAAUGCCUGCAGUGCACCAUAGUCUCUACACAUGGGAGGCUCGCUCUACACAGCCAAAGCUGCACCCCAUGAUGUAAUUGUUGUAUUGAUGACUAAGCAUGUUGAAUGCUCUUACUUUACAUUAAAGCACCUAUGUGAACAGGUUAGAGCAGCAACACAGACUACAGAGCAGGGCUGGGGGAUUAAUCAAAGUCCAAUUUUUAAUCUAAUUUUGGCUCUCUGCAAUCAAAAAUACGAUAAAAUUGCCCCCCACAGUCCUAUUUGAUAUGCUCUCUAGGUGUUGUUGGGCACAAGGGCAAAGGAUGUUAUGGACAGACUAUGGACAAAUGGAACAAAAAUGACUGAAAUGUCUCUAAGCCCUGGACUCACCUCUUGAAAUGUACGCAUCAUUACUAUGAUUCUUCUCUCCCUGUGUAACAAGAUGUGUUUGUAUUUUUUCCAUCUAUGCCUUUCCCUUCCUGUUCUUUUCUAGGUCUAUUCCUUUCUUUCACUCUUUCUAAGUAUUUUGAAAAACUCAAUGUAUUCAUAAAAAACAGCAAAAUGCUACCAUAUAGGCUAUAACGUGUUAUCACCUGGAGCACAGACUGAUUCACAGCAAAGUUUCAUAAUGUAAAGAAGCUGAUGAGGUUUCAGUAGAAGCUGCUGUGUAGCACUGCCAGAGAAGAGCAGAAAGAGGAGGUGUGUGCUAAAGCUGAGGGACAGAGUGAGCAUGAGGAAAGAAUGUAAUCUAGUUAGUUUGAAAAGAGAGCAAGAUGUAUUAGAAUGUCUAAGUUAAAUAAAUACAUAUGUCAUAUAUAUGUUUAAAUAAAUAUAUAUAUGAAGUCUAAAGGAGAAAUCUAACAUCAGAAAAAUCGUGCUGCUGUGACUCUGAGAGGUGAAAGAUUGUCUUACAGAGACACUGACAAAGUUCGGUGUUUAAAAAGCAUCUGUAAAUGUAUUAAUACUCGUCUGACGAACAGUUUUGGAGUGUAUCAGGAUCAGAGGGUUUCCAGCCUUGGAGGUUUUGAGAGCAUUAUUUUUCCCAAGGGGCAAAAUAAAUGAAUACAUCUCUGCUGCAGGUAUCAAAAGAUGUGAGGAAGGGUGCAUAUACUGUAACAAAAAAGCUCUCAGGGUUUGCUGCCUCAGGCAAGGCUGCAUUUUCCUGCAAAUGUGAUAUUUCAAUAAUGGGCCAUUUUCACAGCAGACAGUUUGAUUUGUGAUGGAGUUGUAAAGUAGGAGGCGCUUUUUCAGGCUUCUCUUCUUUUGGAAAUAAAAGUGCGGUUCUUAAUUCACAUCGACAACAUUACAUGACUCAGAGUUGUAGUCAUUAGAGCUGAGAUCUGCUUGGAACUGCCAUGGGUGAAUCAUCAAAUAUCACUUUUGGAUUCUUGGUCAUUUAUUUUAUUAUUAUUUCAACAACUAUGGUGCUGUGAUUUGUCGACAAUGCUUUUCACACCUCUAACGGCCUCUUUUCUAUCAAAAAAAAUGGUGUCAUUUAGUACUUCUACACUGGAGAAGGAUGGGAGGAGGAAAAAAACUGAACCAAAUUAAGAGUUGAAGAGUCAUUUGAAAACCAAUGCUUUAACCAGUCAGUCAUGUAGUGUUUAAGCAUGUGGUGGCACUAAAUUUUGACCCUUUCUCUGCAUGUUAGUGUGCUUUUCUUGGACUUCUAGUUAACUGGGUUUUAUCUAGAUUCUUUCUCUCUGCCAAACCAAUCAAUUGAACAAGAUUUCUCAGAGCAAAUGAUUCAAAUUCAAGGCCAUAACGAAGCUUAAAAUGAAAAGACACCUCAACACCCUGUUUUCUCCAUCAUCGAUUCAUGUAAGUUUUCUGUCUAUUAAUGCUGCAGGAUUCCUUGUUGCUCUCUCUCUCUCUCUCUGCUCUGUCAUUUUUACUUCUGCCCUGCACCUGUGCUGUGCAUACUUCCAGCCCCAUCACACCCCUGCAGGCUGCAGAUCAGAGGUUUUAAGAUAUUAUCUCAUCACUCUUCAAAUUUCUGCAUGUAAAAUUAGUCUCUGUGAAGUGAUGAGGUUGUUGCUUAGAUUCCCAACAUAAACAUGGCGUGAUCCUCGGCUGUGACAAAUGUGGGUUUUCCAACUGAAAUGACCCUGAUUUCUAUGUUCUCCAGAUUUAUCCUGCAUUUGUUAUAUUCUCCAGAUCAGUUCAGAUUUGAUAAGGUAAUGAAAAAAAGGAUAAAAGUUACAAACACAGUGGAAUAUCGUACAACUUAGGCAGCUCAGCCAUUUAUUUCAGAGAGGCUUUUAUCAGCUGUGACACAACCUCUAAACAUGGGACGUGACUUAGUGUUUCUAAAGUCUUUUGAGAUUUUUCUGUAAUAUUCUUCAUGUAUGGCUAAAAAAUACUUGGUUUUGUGUUUGUAUAUUGUUCCUUUAUCCAUUUUGUCAUUUCUUCUCCUUACACAAAAUGUCGUAACAUUUCUAGAAGAACCUUUAAUUUGAGGCUUUGAGAUGCUGUCUCUUAAGGUGUUAUGCUCUCAUUUUUGCCAACACAAAGCUGUGCAGAAAUGAUUUUUUGAUAGGAUGUUGUCGUCUCAUUUCUUUAAAAAUAUGUGUAUAUUAUGUAAAUUUUAACAAGCUUUAGUUUUCAGUCAACUCUAUAUUCCACAUUUCAGACGUGAAAACAUACGCAGGCUGCUAUCUGCAUGUGAACAGCAGAUCUGUUUACUGUGAGGUUUACUGAACAGCAUGGACAGUCUGCUUUCUCAUGAAGACAUGCAGGUUUUAUUAAAGCAGCAGCAGGGCAGUGGUGAACAGUAAAGAUGUGUAUGUUUCUCACAGUGUCUCAUGUAGUAGAAAAAAAACAAUGUCUCACUGCUGUACUGAAAGUGAUGAACCUUUAGAUGUUGGUGAAGAUUUGGGGGUUCAGCAGUGCAGUGAGGAAGAAUGAGUCGAAAUGAAAGAAGCCAUGAAAGAUUGACUGGGACUGAAAGUGUUUCUAAGAGCUCUGUGUGUAAUAUAACAAAGGUUUAUGGUUUACAAAUUAAUAAAUGUUCCUGUUUCAGCUCCUUAGAUAUGAAGAUUUGAAGCUUUUUUGUCUUCUAAGAUUUUGAAAUUUGAAUACAAUUGUGUUGUUAUCACCUUUAAGGAAAUGAUUUAAGAUUAACCAUAAAAAACCUUCAAUAAACAUAAAGUAAUAGACAAAGAUGGAUAGAUUUUUACUUAAAUCUUAACUUUUGAUACUGCAAUGUGAUAAUACCACAAAAUGCAGAUGGUUUUGUUUAUUACUGAAUAUUAGAUAGCUCAGUAUACCCAAAACUUUAUAAUGUAAUGUGUAAAUAGGAUAUUCAUAUCACAUCAAUAAGUUAUAUUUACCUAUAACCAACAACAACAAUGAUGGAGGUCGGCACAGAGGAGGAACUUAUCUGUUUUUUGGGGGGAAUGAGUAGAGUUUAGCAGGGUGACAGCUGAGGGGAAGAAGCUGUUCCUGAACCUGCUGGUUCUGGAACAGAGGGACCUGUAGCGCCUGUGUCCUGGGUCAGAGUUGUCCCUGCCAAUAGACUAAACAUUUAAUAGAAAGCCAAAGAAGGACAACCUAGCAACAGCAAACUAGCACCAGUAGAAAGUGCUUCUAAAUUGAAGUUGUGGGAGCAGCAAAUGAAGAAAAUGCUGUCAGUGGACACAGGCCCUAAC